rnacentral:rRNA from 1 species
GAUGAACGCUGGCGGCGUGCUUAACACAUGCAAGUCGAACGGUGAACACGGAGCUUGCUCUGUGGGAUCAGUGGCGAACGGGUGAGUAACACGUGAGCAACCUGCCCCUGACUCUGGGAUAAGCGCUGGAAACGGCGUCUAAUACUGGAUACGAGUAGCGGCCGCAUGGUCAGUUACUGGAGAGAUUUUUUGGUUGGGGAUGGGCUCGCGGCCUAUCAGCUUGUUGGUGAGGUAAUGGCUCACCAAGGCGUCGACGGGUAGCCGGCCUGAGAGGGUGACCGGCCACACUGGGACUGAGACACGGCCCAGACUGCUACGGGAGGCAGCAGUGGGGAAUAUUGCACAAUGGGCGAAAGCCUGAUGCAGCAACGCCGCGUGAGGGAUGACGGCCUUCGGGUUGUAAACCUCUUUUAGCAGGGAAGAAGCGAAAGUGACGGUACCUGCAGAAAAAGCGCCGGCUAACUACGUGCCAGCAGCCGCGGUAA